GAUGAACGCUAGCGACAGGCCUAACACAUGCAAGUCGAGGGGUAACAUUGUAGCUUGCUACAGAUGACGACCGGCGCACGGGUGCGUAACGCGUAUACAACUUGCCCUUUACUGGGGGAUAGCCCAGAGAAAUUUGGAUUAAUACCCCAUAGUAUUUAGUCAACACCUGUUGAUUAUCUUAAAACUCCGGUGGUAAAGGAUAGGUAUGCGUGACAUUAGAUAGUUGGUGAGGUAACGGCUCACCAAGUCGACGAUGUCUAGGGGUUCUGAGAGGAAGGUCCCCCACACUGGUACUGAGACACGGACCAG
rnacentral:rRNA from 1 species